AUGGACAAAGGCAAGUGGAAAUCUGAUUUAUCAAGUUAUACUCAUCUUAGCGCCCAAGACCUUCAUUCUGGCUUUUUGAACAGCUUGUAUACCAGCCGCGACUAUGAAGCCGGCUUAGUGGGCCUGAUGAAGGAUCGUUAUGAGGCUAAACUGACCAAAAAAGAUUCCCAAAUCACCGAUCUUCAGGCAAAUAUCAAGUCUCGGCAAGAUGAGACUUGCAAGGUAAAAGGCGAGCUGACCACCGCUUUAACAACCAUGGAACAACUGAAGGAGUACUUCAAAGGUGAACGGGCAGACUGGGAAGCCGAAAAAUCUACUAUGUUAAAACGGGCAGAAGACGCUGAAAACACCCUUAAACCGGCGAUAGAAGAACUGAGCAGCUUGAAGCGGCAGAUCAAUGCCAUGAGCUCUGCCAUCUUUGGUAGCCGUGUUACUCAUCUUGGCGCAGAUAUGCGUAAAAAGUUGAAGGCUGCCUAUACUUUGGUAGAGCAAUUAUAUACCGGCGCUCAACGAGCCAUCUGCACAGCUUCCAAUAAUAAACCGCCCCCAACGCUGAUCAAGGAAACACUGGAGAGGUUAUCCAUGCUGCCUGCCCGGAUUGAAGAAUUGAAGAAAUCAGCUGCUAGGGCCGGUGCUCUUACUGCCUUGACUCGUGCCAAAGCCUGGAUAUCUGACUUCGAUCCGGAAGACAUUGGGAAUGGUUAUCCAAGCCAGAAGGAGGACCGUUCAGAAUUUGAUAAUGAUGAUCUCAGGGCUAUCAAUCGAGAAAUGAGUCCACUGGCAAGCAAGUUGGCUGAAGAUACUGACUUGUCGUUUUAUCACAAUCUUUACGAUGCCAGCGGCAAGAGGACGUAUGCACCAACUUAUGACGUAGCAAACCUGAUCCCGCCAAACCGUAAGCAUACUUAUGCUGCUGAUAUUGAACUGUCCGACCUCAUAAACGAUGAAGCUGUCUUCCAAGCCUUAACCGGGAUUGAUUGGACAACUGUUGACUUCCAGCCCCUGGGUGGCGAGAGGGAGGUUGAACUGGCGCAGGAAGACCCGCAACCUUCGCAUCAGCCUGAGGCAGAGUCAUAA
rnacentral:rRNA from 1 species